GUACUACUGUCUCCAUCCAACAAAAGAUGUUUCAAAUUUGUCAAAAUUUGAAUGUAUAUAAACAUGACUUAGUGUAUAGAUGCAUUUAAAUUUAGUCAAAGUUGAGACAUCUUUUGUUGGACGGAUGAAGUAUGUA
rfam:Brachypodium distachyon strain Bd21 chromosome 2, whole genome shotgun sequence.